rnacentral:tRNA from 1 species
GCACAUUUAGAGAAACGGUAAUCUCGCUAGUCUCAUAAGCUAGAAACAUUGGGUUCGACUCCCAAAUGUGCA